UCCCUGGUAGUCCAGUGGCUAAGACUCUGUGCUCUCAAUGCAAGGGCGUGGGUUUGAUCCCUAGUCAGGGAA
rnacentral:tRNA from 1 species